rnacentral:misc_RNA from 1 species
CAACCCUCAAACUUCACUGUUUGUUGUUGGGUACUGCCUGGCGGCAUACCUAAAAAUCAGCGACGGUUCCUUCCAACCUCAGACGUACAAGUAUCGUUAUAGGGGGCGGUCGGGGCUUGUCUCCCAAUUUUCUAAA